rnacentral:rRNA from 1 species
UACGUAGGGGGCAAGCGUUAUCCGGAUUUACUGGGUGUAAAGGGAGCGUAGACGGCAAGGCAAGCCUGGAGUGAAAGGCGGGGGCCCAACCCCCGGACUGCUCUGGGAACUGUCUGGCUAGAGUGCAGGAGGGGUAAGUGGAAUUCCUAGUGUAGCGGUGAAAUGCGUAGAUAUUAGGAGGAACACCAGUGGCGAAGGCGGCUUACUGGACUGUAACUGACGUUGAGGCUCGAAAGCGUGGGGAGCAAACA